rnacentral:rRNA from 1 species
GAUGAACGCUAGCGGCAGGCCUAACACAUGCAAGUCGAGGGGCAGCAUAGGGUAGCAAUACUCUGAUGGCGACCGGCAAACGGGUGAGUAACGCGUAUGCAACCUACCCUGUACAGGGGGAUAACCCGGAGAAAUUCGGACUAAUAUCCCGUAAUAAUAUCCGGAGGCAUCUUUGGAUAUUUAAAGUUCCGACGGUACGGGAUGGGCAUGCGUAACAUUAACUGGUUGGUAAGGUAACGGCUUACCAAGGCUAUGAUGUUUAGGGGUCCUGAGAGGGUGGUCCCCCAACUGGUACUGAGACACGGACCAGACUCCUACGGGAGGCAGCAGUGAGGAAUAUUGGUCAAUGGGCGCAAGCCUGAACCAGCCAUCCCGCGUGCAGGAAGACGGCCCUAUGGGUUGUAAACUGCUUUUCCAGGGAGAGAAACUUACGCACGUGUUGCGUGACUGACGGUACCCUGGGAAUAAGCAUCGGCUAACUCCGUAG